rnacentral:rRNA from 1 species
GACGAACGCUGGCGGCGUGCUUAACACAUGCAAGUCGAACGGAAAGGCCCUGCUUUUGUGGGGUGCUCGAGUGGCGAACGGGUGAGUAACACGUGAGUAACCUGCCCUUGACUUUGGGAUAACUUCAGGAAACUGGGGCUAAUACCGGAUAGGAGCUCCUGCUGCAUGGUGGGGGUUGGAAAGUUUCGGCGGUUGGGGAUGGACUCGCGGCUUAUCAGCUUGUUGGUGGGGUAGUGGCUUACCAAGGCUUUGACGGGUAGCCGGCCUGUGAGGGUGACCGGCCACAAUGGGACUGAGAUACGGCCCAGUCUCCUACGGGCGGCAGCGGUGGGGAAUAUUGCCCAAUGGGCGGACGCCUGAUGCGGCAACGCCGCGUUCGGGAUGCCGGCCUUCGGGUUGUAAACCGCUUUCGCCUGUGACGAAGCGUGAGUGACGGUAAUGGGUAAAGAAGCACCGGCUAACUACGUG